GUUCCCAGUCACGAUACAUGCCUCAAACAACCAAGUCACAUUAACAUCAGGAUCAAGCUACUUCAUCGCAUGGCAAUACACAAGUUCUCCAGGGCCAACACCGCCACCAAUAAUCAUCGGCUCAACCAAAACCACACUAUACCUACGAAGCGACUCCUACACAACCAACACAGUAACCGCCCACGGCUUAGACACAACCAACACCAACAUAGCCACAUCAAACCAUGUAGACUCAGCCUCAGCAUGUCAGUGCACGGGGGUAGAGCUACUGAAUGGGGUCUGGGGGCCUACCCGGCUACCCGCCCCAAUCAAACUCCGAAUACCGUGCACGCAGCGCUGGGAGUAAGACUACGAGGGAUAAUCUUCGUGGUCAAAAGGGAAACAACCCGGACCAUCGGCUAAGGUCCCUAAGUCAUGCUCAGUUGAAAAGGUAGUCAGAAUGCUGUGACAGCCAGGAUGUUGGCUUAGAAGCAGCCACCAUUUAAAAAGUGCGUAACAGCUUACUGGUCGAGGAUUCUGGCGCCGAUAAUUAUCGGGGAUAAGCAUGACACCGAAGCCGUGGGACUCGUAUGAGUCGGUAGGAGAGCGUUGCUGUCAGCGUCGAAGUUUUCCCGUAAGGGUUGAUGGAGCGGCAGCAAGUGAAUAUGCCAGAUUGAGUAACGAUUAAUGCAGUGAGAAUCUGCAUCCCCGUAUGCCCAAGGUUUCCUGGGGAAGGUAAUUCCGCCCAGGGUUAGUCGGAGCCUAAGGCAAGGCCGAAAGGCGUAGUCGAUGGACAGCUGGUUAAUAUUCCAGCACCCUCGUGUAGGUUGAUGGCAGGUGACGGAUUUCCAUAUCUCAACGGGACAGUGAAGCGUCCAGGCCGUAUGGCCGGUGUUGGGUGAGGAAGUCUCAAGAAAAGCCCUGCCGGACGUUUACGAGGUCCGUACCAAAACCGACACAGGUGGGCGUGGCGAAUAGCCUCAGGGGCUCGAGAAAACGGUCCUGAAGGAACUAGGCAAUUUGACCCCGUAAGUUCGCGAUAAGGGGGCCCUACUCGCAAGAGAGGGCGCAGAGAGAAGGCUCUGGGAACUGUUUAUCAAAAACACAGCACAGUGCUAACUCGUAAGAGGACGUAUACUGUGUGACGCCUGCCCGGUGCUGGAACGUCAAAGAAGCUGGUUAGCGCAAGCGAAGCUAGCGACUGAAGCGCCAGUAAACGGCGGCCGUAACUCUGACGGUCCUAAGGUAGCGAAAUUCCUUGUCGGGUAAGUUCCGACGCGCAUCAAUGGCGUAAUCACUGGAGCACUGUCUCCACGACCGACUCGGUGAAAUAGUAGUGGCGGUGAAGAUGCCGCCU
rnacentral:rRNA from 1 species